rnacentral:rRNA from 1 species
CAAUCCAUGAGUAAAGUGGCGCACGGGUGAGUAACACGUGACUAACCUACCCUUGAGUGGGGAAUAACUGAGGGAAACCUUAGCUAAUACCGCAUAAUACCUACGGGUCAAAGGAGCAAUUCGCUUAAGGAGGGGGUCGCGGCAGAUUAGCUAGUUGGCGGGGUAAUGGCCCACCAAGGCAGUGAUCUGUAUCCGGCCUGAGAGGGCGCACGGACACACUGGAACUGAAACACGGUCCAG